GCUUCUGCACGGUAAUAACUAUGCUUUGUACUUCCAUGACACAGUUCUUUCAUGGACUGCCGUGCGCUGGCCUCAUGUUAGCACGCUCUAAUUGCCCUCAGGUGGCUGGCAUGUGGUACAAGAAAUGCACUCUUCGUUCGUUCUAUCUUCAGAAUAAAGAAGUGGUACAAAGGAAGAAGAAUUCGAGCUGGGGCAGAUUUCAGCAACUGAGAGAUGAGGAAACUAAAGUGAAGGCGGCUUAAGGAAACUCCCUGCAUCGCCUGGCUUAUAAGAAAAGAGCAAGCAAAAUCUCGGAUCCAUUUUUGUUCCAUGAAAGACACACCUUGCCUUUUCCUAUAGGAAUAACCAGCCUUGGGUUUGCCUCUCCUAAGCAGUUAUUGCUUCACGUUUGUGUGCAAGAAUGUAAAAG